rnacentral:tRNA from 1 species
UAGUGAUUAGUUUAAUCAAAACAAAUGAUUUCGACUCAUUAGAUUAUGUUUACUCAUAAUCACUAU